ACCAAAGUGAAAAUGCUGUGCUGAGUGGUUAUAUUACUACCUUAAAAAAUAAGCAGAAACUCGACGUUUCGAGCGAAGGCCCUUCGUCAAGAGUUAGUAGUGGAGGGCCAUUCCAUUUAAUGUAACCCCCCCCCCUAUGGACGAGAAUUUCUGAGGGGAUUUGAAAAAGCCAAUUCUGAGGGGUUGCGUGCAUCGGCAUCCUUUUGAUCUUUGCGUUUUUCUGAGGGGUAUGGCAAAAUUUUCUUAAUUUCUGGGAGGGUGUUUGUGUCAGCACUUUGAUCUUUUUUCUUAGGGGUUCAAAUUUUAUUGAACUUGUCUAUAAGGGUGUGUGUACAUCAAAUGGAUGGCCCAGAAUAAAGUACCC